rnacentral:rRNA from 1 species
GACGAACGCUGGCGGCGUGCUUAACACAUGCAAGUCGAACGGAAAGGCCCUGCUUUUGUGGGGUGCUCGAGUGGCGAACGGGUGAGUAACACGUGAGUAACCUGCCCUUGACUUUGGGAUAACUUCAGGAAACUGGGGCUAAUACCGGAUAGGAGCUCCUGCUGCAUGGUGGGGGUUGGAAAGUUUCGGCGGUUGGGGAUGGACUCGCGGCUUAUCAGCUUGUUGGUGGGGUAGUGGCUUACCAAGGCUUUGACGGGUAGCCGGCCUGAGAGGGUGACCGGCCAAAUGGGGCAUGAGAUACGGCCCAAACCCCUACGGGGGGAAGCGGGGGGGAAUUUUGCAAAAGGGGCGGAAGCGUGAUGCAGCAACGCCGGGGGGGGGAAGACGGCCUUGGGGUUGUAAACCGCUUUCGCCUGGGACGAAGCGUGAGUGAGGGUAAUGGGUAAAGAAGCACCGGCUAACUACGG